rnacentral:lncRNA from 1 species
CAAGGGAGCCCAGCUGAAGCCAUGGCCAGUACAGUGGUAGCAGUUGGACUGACCAUUGCUGCUGCAGGAUUUGCAGGCCGUUAUGUUUUGCAAGCCAUGAAGCAUAUGGAGCCUCAAGUAAAACAAGUUUUUCAAAGCCUACCAAAAUCUGCCUUCAGUGGUGGCUAUUAUAGAGCCCUACUGCCAAUAAAGGGAAAAUAAGAGAUGCUCA